rnacentral:rRNA from 1 species
UACAUGGGGUGCAAACGUUGCUCGGAAUUAUUGGGCGUAAAGCGCGCGCAGGUGGUUUCUUAAGUCUGAUGUGAAAGCCCACGGCUCAACCGUGGAGGGUCAUUGGAAACUGGGGAACUUGAGUGCAGGAGAGAAGAGUGGAAUUCCACGUGUAGCGGUGAAAUGCGUAGAGAUGUGGAGGAACACCAGUGGCGAAGGCGACUCUUUGGCCUGUAACUGACACUGAGGCGCGAAAGCGUGGGGAGCGAACAGG